rnacentral:lncRNA from 1 species
GGCCAGCGUUGGUUUCUCGUCUGGACUACUGUUUGCAAACUGCUGACUUACAAAAUGGUAACAGCCUCCUAACAAUGGGUGAAUCUACAGGAUGUCAAGCAGCAACUCUCAGGUGAACCACUCAGUCAGUGGAUCUGGUGUUAACUAUACAAUGCCAAAUGUCUUCUGGUGAUCUGAAGACAUCAGGGGCUUUUCUAUCAUGUAGACCAAACAUGAUUCAGGUGCAAAAAAGGGCCUGGAAGACUGCGUACGGAAAAAUGGGGCAGCAGUGUGAGAGUAUUCUGAAACAACGCGAAGACAGAAAUAGCAGCGCCGACAGAGUUGCAGAACUCCAGAGCCAGAAGGAUGAUAUCUCAACAAAUGACAGAGCCCAAUUCAUUGACUCCAAUAAGAACGACACGCGUCUAUUAUAACUUUACAAGAUGGAAAGUACAUACAGAAAAAUUUUGAAGUUUUAAGAGUUAAAUCUUAUAGUCCUAUAUGAAAGAAUGGAUCAGCAAAUUCAAAUAUUCAUAUCUUAUUGGGCUCUAUUUCCUGUAUUUUUCUCACAUGCCACUCUUUUAAAAUAGGUAUCUAUGUAUGUGUCAACAACCUUUGAAUAAGCCAGAGCAACUAGGCAAGAAAAAAAAAAAAGAACAGCUAAACUGGAAAGAAGGAAGUCAAAUUAUCCCUGUUUGUAGAUGACAUGGUCACAUAUAUAGAGAAACCUAAACAUUCUACC